AGUCGUACGCUUCUUUUUCCACCGGAGCUUGCUCCACCGGAAAAAGAAGAGUGGCGAACGGGUGAGUAACACGUGGGUAACCUGCCCAUCAGAAGGGGAUAACACUUGGAAACAGGUGCUAAUACCGUAUAACAAUCGAAACCGCAUGGUUUUGAUUUGAAAGGCGCUUUCGGGUGUCGCUGAUGGAUGGACCCGCGGUGCAUUAGCUAGUUGGUGAGGUAACGGCUCACCAAGGCCACGAUGCAUAGCCGACCUGAGAGGGUGAUCGGCCACAUUGGGACUGAGACACGGCCCAAACUCCUACGGGAGGCAGCAGUAGGGAAUCUUCGGCAAUGGACGAAAGUCUGACCGAGCAACGCCGCGUGAGUGAAGAAGGUUUUCGGAUCGUAAAACUCUGUUGUUAGAGAAGAACAAGGAUGAGAGUAACUGUUCAUCCCUUGACGGUAUCUAACCAGAAAGCCACGGCUAACUACGUGCCAGCAGCCGCGGUAAUACGUAGGUGGCAAGCGUUGUCCGGAUUUAUUGGGCGUAAAGCGAGCGCAGGCGGUUUCUUAAGUCUGAUGUGAAAGCCCCCGGCUCAACCGGGGAGGGUCAUUGGAAACUGGGAGACUUGAGUGCAGAAGAGGAGAGUGGAAUUCCAUGUGUAGCGGUGAAAUGCGUAGAUAUAUGGAGGAACACCAGUGGCGAAGGCGGCUCUCUGGUCUGUAACUGACGCUGAGGCUCGAAAGCGUGGGGAGCAAACAGGAUUAGAUACCCUGGUAGUCCACGCCGUAAACGAUGAGUGCUAAGUGUUGGAGGGUUUCCGCCCUUCAGUGCUGCAGCUAACGCAUUAAGCACUCCGCCUGGGGAGUACGACCGCAAGGUUGAAACUCAAAGGAAUUGACGGGGGCCCGCACAAGCGGUGGAGCAUGUGGUUUAAUUCGAAGCAACGCGAAGAACCUUACCAGGUCUUGACAUCCUUUGACCACUCUAGAGAUAGAGCUUCCCCUUCGGGGGCAAAGUGACAGGUGGUGCAUGGUUGUCGUCAGCUCGUGUCGUGAGAUGUUGGGUUAAGUCCCGCAACGAGCGCAACCCUUAUUGUUAGUUGCCAUCAUUUAGUUGGGCACUCUAGCAAGACUGCCGGUGACAAACCGGAGGAAGGUGGGGAUGACGUCAAAUCAUCAUGCCCCUUAUGACCUGGGCUACACACGUGCUACAAUGGGAAGUACAACGAGUCGCGAAGUCGCGAGGCUAAGCUAAUCUCUUAAAGCUUCUCUCAGUUCGGAUUGUAGGCUGCAACUCGCCUACAUGAAGCCGGAAUCGCUAGUAAUCGCGGAUCAGCACGCCGCGGUGAAUACGUUCCCGGGCCUUGUACACACCGCCCGUCACACCACGAGAGUUUGUAACACCCGAAGUCGGUGAGGUAACCU
rnacentral:rRNA from 1 species